CAGCACCACUUGCUGGUGUACGACGCUCCCGUUGUUUACAAUAGGAAAAAGGUUCUCGACCAAUGACGGUACGACUUCUGGAGGACAAGUAGUCGAAACAGAUUGGUUGUAGAAGAAGCUUCAUAAAAAAAUGAAAAUCUGGUUGUACUUCGAGAAGAGCUGAGCAAAUGGAAAACUUCGUGCUACAAUCAGCUGUGAGCUGUUAUCUAACUUGCAUUGACAGUUUGCUCCGGUCGGCAACGAUACCACAGCAGCUGUUAUGCUCCGAAUGUUUCUUGCGCCAGAAUCCGCUCGAGAUGGAAAAUGGUUUUACGCUCCGCUGGCCUGUCGAACUUAGUUGGAAUGGAGCAUGAUUUCAAUGGCCAUAAUAAGUGCGCGUGUCACCUGGAAGGAUUGUGGUGACAUAGAUAGGAUGUUGUUGUUGUCAUGACAUGUGGUAUAGUUAGUGUCAUCGAAGAUAGAUUAAAUUUAGUUUGCGAGUAAGGUACACAUAAACACUAGCAAAGAGUUUUACAUUGCAUAUGGCUGUGUUAAAACAUCGGAACCAAUAAUUAAUUUGUAUUGUCAAAUACGAGGUUUGAUUCAACAAAAAAAAAAAAAUUGUAUUUUUGACAAAUAACUUCACUCAACUUUUCUUAAACGAAUUAUGAAUGAACAUUUAUUUGUACGUCAGAAGCUUAAAACCUCCACAGUAUUAAACUUGUUUGAUUUAGCAAAGUGAUUCUAAUUUACCGUAGAUUCCAACAAAAUUGAAUGCAUUUAUCGAUACUAACAAGGGAGAAUUAACGUCGGUCAGCACCAAGGUUUUUUAAUAAUGUUUUAAUAAAUGGUCAAAAAAUCAAAGAAAAUGAGGGAAGGGGAGCAAUUCGCGCAAAAGAGUUCAAAAACACAAAAAAGUUUAGGCUCAGAAGAAAUAACUAAACAAAACUACUGAUAACUAACAGAGGACAUUCUUUGUGUACCAUUUAUCAAUGUUCUGCAAGUAUUUUCUCACGCUUGGGCCCACUGUGAUGUAGAAUGAACUGUGAAAAACUCAGUUGUGAAAAAUUAAAAAAAAAAUCACAGGAGGGUUGUGUGCAAAGCCACGACCGCAAGGUUGAAGUAGAAUACUUUUACAAGAAAGAUAACCCGGCUGCUUGCGUGUCAGUCAUUUCUAAAUCGGAUUUGUUUCGUAUAUACCGAUAGUUAAGCACAGUGUCAACAAAUCGUAAUAAACAUCAUACUGCUGUGCAUUUGCAGCAGCAUCAAACCUCAGUUGCAGUUUAAUAAUAACCAUUCAUUAUGCUCUUCCAAAUACAUUUAGUAGCCUUGAAAAAGGGCGAUUGCUGCAAUUGCAACUUUCAUUCAACUAUUGCAUAAAUGCUUCAUGGUCAGAUAUACCCGCUGCAACUACUACGCUAUCCAUAGCCAUGCCACAGUUGUGGCCGCUAUACGCUACCAUUGGUAUCCGCUGCCCCUGCAUCAGCUGGCCUAGCUGCUAUCGAUGCUGAGAUCCGCUGCAACUGGUGCGCUAUCCAUUGCUAUGGUAUCUUGCUGGUAUCUUGCUGGUAUCCACUGCACUGCUAGUGCUGCUGCUAAGAGAGGACGACUACUGUUGCCGCUUUCUAGAACUUUUAUGAGCGGCUUCGGCUGAAACAGGCUCUUAUAUAGGCCAAAUAGCAUAUUUUAAACUGCAAGGUAUAUAAUUAUGUCGACCGUGCUUGGGAAGCAAUCUUAUACAACCAAUCAGAAGUCUAAUUUUCCGUUUUGACAAGGCCCAAUUAUUUUCAAUAGUACAAUAGUUUGAAUAAUAAAAAUACAAGUAUCUUCAUUUUAGAAGAAUCUUAGAAGAUUUUCCAAUCUAUUGCUGCAAGAACUAAGGAAAUCCAUCGAAUACUAACCGAUUUAUUAGCAUUUGAAAUUGGACAUAUUUUUCACUUUUUUCGGUUUUAGAUUUUCAUUUCACAUCCCUAUGUAGCCGAACUUCCUGAGAGAAGUAUUCUACUUCAAAAUGUUUUCGUAAUUUUAUUAGUGACUAGAACAACACAAACCCGCGUCAUGAGAAUCACGUUGGACAAAAAUCAAGAUCUAGGCCUGGUCCAUAAUAGGUAAACAUAGAAAACAGAACUAGAUGGAAUAUAAAAAGGAAACUUGCGAACUUUCAAUUAAAAAUUGUGUUUUGUGACGAGUUUCUUCGCUCCAGGUUAGUUGUCAGGAGGUUAUUAGAAUAGUACUAAUCAUUGUUUUGUCUUGUAAAAAAAUUGGUGUUGUUUAUACAUAUUCGUCGUUUAAUGCUUUUCCGUAUUCAUAUGUAAAUGAUUCUAUUAAAAUUUCUGUUUCCA